rnacentral:rRNA from 1 species
AGAGUUUGAUCCUGGCUCAGGAUGAACGCUAGCGACAGGCUUAACACAUGCAAGUCGAGGGGCAGCGAGGGAGUGGCAACACUUCUGUCGGCGACCGGCGCACGGGUGAGUAACGCGUAUGCAACCUGCCCUUCACAGGGGGAUAACCGGGAGAAAUUCCGACUAAUACCGCAUACGUCCUCCGGGGGCAUCCCCGGGGGAUGAAAGAAUUAUCGGUGAAGGAUGGGCAUGCGUGAUAUUAGGUAGUUGGCGGGGCAACGGCCCACCAAGCCCACGAUAUCUAGGGGUUCUGAGAGGAAGGUCCCCCACAUUGGUACUGAGACACGGACCAAACUCCUACGGGAGGCAGCAGUGAGGAAUAUUGGUCAAUGGACGAGAGUCUGAACCAGCCAAGUCGCGUGAAGGAAGACGGAUCUAUGGUUUGUAAACUUCUUUAGUGCGGGAACAAAGCGGUGUCGUGACGCCGGAUGAGUGUACCGCAAGAAUAAGCAUCGGCUAACUCCGUGCCAGCAGCCGCGGUAAUACGGAGGAUGCGAGCGUUAUCCGGAUUUAUUGGGUUUAAAGGGAGCGCAGGCUGCGAGGCAAGUCAGCGGUCAAAUGUCGGGGCUCAACCCCGGCCUGCCGUUGAAACUGUCCUGCUAGAGUUCGAGUGAGGUAUGCGGAAUGCGUUGUGUAGCGGUGAAAUGCAUAGAUAUGACGCAGAACUCCGAUUGCGAAGGCAGCAUACCAACUCGCGACUGACGCUGAGGCUCGAAAGCGUGGGUAUCGAACAGGAUUAGAUACCCUGGUAGUCCACGCAGUAAACGAUGAAUACUAACUGUUCGGAGGGCGACCUCUGAGUGGUAAAGCGAAAGCGUUAAGUAUUCCACCUGGGGAGUACGCCGGCAACGGUGAAACU